GUCGCGGGCUGGCGGCGGCCAUGGAGGGGCUGCGUCGCGGGCUGUCCCGCUGGAAGCGCUACCACAUCAAGGUACACCUGGCCGAUGAGGCGUUGCUGCUGCCACUGACCGUGCGGCCCCGCGACACACUGAGCGACCUGCGCGCGCAGCUAGUGGGCCAGGGCGUGAGCUCGUGGCGCAGAACCUUCUACUACAACGCUAGGCCGCUGCCCGACCAUCAGACUGUGCGCGAGGCGCGCUUGCAGGACGGCUCGGUAUUGCUGCUGCUCAGCGACCCCAGGUAGUCAAGGCUGGAGGAGAUGGAGCCAUGAUUUUAGGAACACAAGGCGGCUGAAGGAGCAGGCUGGGCCAGGGGGCGCCACACCUCUCCCUUCCUGGGAGCCCAGCCUUUUCCAGGUGCCGGGUUCCCAGGUAGAUGCAACGUCCCAACCCUACUGAUACCCACUGUUUCCCGUGUUCCUGAUGGUGACUUCAGACUCUGUCCACCUCUCCAGCAAGGAGCCUUCUGGUUUCUCUGUGGCCUUGGGGACCGUCCCCCUCCCCAGGGACCCUCCGCUGCCUGGAUCCUCCAUCAAUCCCCAGAACACAGCCUCUUCCAGGAAGCCCUCCAGUCACGAGACACAGUUCCAUCUUUGGGGACCCACGGGCC